rnacentral:rRNA from 1 species
AUUAACGCUGGCGGCGUGACCUAACACAUGCAAGUCGAACGAAAUAUCUUCGGAUAUUAGUGGCGAACGGGUGAGUAAUGUACAGGUAAUGUACCUUCGUACUGCGAAUAACAAGCUGAAAAGUUUGCUAAUACGGAAUAGUUUCAUUAGGGGGCAUCCUUUGAUGAAUAAAGAUUUAUCGUGCGGAGAUCAGCCUGUAUCCUAUUAGUUAGUUGGUGGGGUAAUGGCCUACCAAGACGACGAUGGGUAACUGGUCUGAGAGGAUGAGCAGUCACAUUGGAACUGAGAUACGGUCCAAACUCCUACGGGAGGCAGCAGUGAGGAAUUUUGCGCAAUGGGGGAAACCCUGACGCAGCAACGCCGCGUGAGUGAAGACGGCCUUCGGGUUGUAAAGCUCUGUCGUGUACGACGAGUAGGGACGGUAAUACACAAGGAAGCCUCGGCUAACUACGUGCCAGCAGCGGC